GUAAUGGUGUCUCUCUGAGGGGUCUUUGGACUGGUUUGCUAACUACCUCUCAGAGAGUGCAGUGUAUAAAGAUAGAACCUCUGCUGUCUCAGCCACUGCCUGUCACCAAGGGAGUACCCCAAGGCUCCAUCCUAAGGCCCCAUGCUCUUCUUACAUCAACAACAUAGCUCAGGCAGUAGGAAGCUCUCUCAUCCAUUUAUAUGCAGAUGAUACAGUCUUAUAUCACAGUCUUACUGUGUUACUAUAGAUAACUGCAGGACUAUGUAACCUCAGCCUAGCGCAGAGAUACUUCUGACAGCCUGAUCUGCUCUGGGACUCAGUCAGCAGCUUGUCUGUCUAUCUGUCUGCCUGCCUGUCUGUCUGUCUGUCUGUCUGUCUGUCUGUCUGUCUGUCUGUCUACCUUUCAGUUGGCGCUACUGCUGAAGACAAAGCCACUGUCUGUCCUACUCAGCUUACCAACCCACCUCACCACUAAGUGUUCUACUUGUCAUGCAGGUGCAGGUGCUCUUCACUCCCUUUGCAAAGUAAGGCCCAGCUGCAAGCUAACAAGCUAACAAGCCACAUGGCCUCUAAACACAACCAGCAGCUAGUUUCACCAGAAGCCGUUUACACGUCCACAUAGGAACCGUGGUGGUUUGGAACCCUUCACCACAGUGCUAAAGCCCAGAGCAUGCUGUAUCACAAGCCCUCUAACCACAUCAGGGUGUGGUGACUACAUGGCACGACACAGCGACACAGCUCUCUGAAGAACACUCACCUACGAACAAACAACAUGGCUGAAACAGUCAGUUUUAUGGUUCGUUUCAAAAUACAGCAGAAAUGGGGAGGGGUUAAUACGAGCUAUAUAAAUGAAUUAUCUUUAGCUAUACAAAUGAUCUUGGAUUAAAAUGUAGUAAUUCCAAAUACAGCAGAAAUGGGGAGGGGUUAAUACGAGCUAUAUAAAUGAAUUAUCUGUAGCUAUACAAAUGAUCUUGGAUUACAAUGUAGUAAUUCCUACAUGUAGCUUCAUCUCCGGUGGAUGGACGACAGGAACAUAACAGAGGGCGUGUAUCUGUCAUGAUACGACAGGAUGUCUGAGAGAACUAGUCUCGUAUUAGUUCCUGUGCUCUGGACGACAGGAACAUAACAGAGGGCGUGUAUCUGUCAUGAUACGACAGGAUGUCUGAGAGAACUAGUCUCGUAUUAGUUCCUGUGCUCUGGACGACAGGAAUAUAACAGAGGGCGUGUAUCUGUCAUGAUACGACAGGAUGUCUGAGAGAACUAGUCUCGUAUUAGUUCCUGUGCUCUGGACGACAGGAACAUAACAGAGGGCGUGUAUCUGUCAUGAUACGACAGGAUGUCUGAGAGAACUAGUCUCGUAUUAGUUCCUGUGCUCUGGACGACAGGAACAUAACAGAGGGCGUGUAUCUGUCAUGAUACGACAGGAUGUCUGAGAGAACUAGUCUCGUAUUAGUUCCUGUGCUCUGGACGACAUAAUGUACACUACCGUUCAAACGUUUUCUGGGGGACACUAAGAAAUG
rnacentral:lncRNA from 13 species